GUCGAGGGGUAUAGUAGCAAUACUAGAGACCGGCGCACGGGUGCGUAACGCGUAUGCAAUCUACCUUUUGCAGAGGGAUAGCCCAGAGAAAUUUGGAUUAAUACCUCAUAGUAUAACGACUCGGCAUCGAGAUGUUAUUAAAGUCACAACGGCAAAAGAUGAGCAUGCGUCCCAUUAGUUAGUUGGUAAGGUAACGGCUUACCAAGACUACGAUGGGUAGGGGUCCUGAGAGGGAGAUCCCCCACACUGGUACUGAGACACGGACCAGACUCCUACGGGAGGCAGCAGUGAGGAAUAUUGGACAAUGGGCGCAAGCCUGAUCCAGCCAUGCCGCGUGCAGGAUGACGGUCCUAUGGAUUGUAAACUGCUUUUGCACAGGAAGAAACAACGCUACGUGUAGCGUCUUGACGGUACUGUGAGAAUAAGGAUCGGCUAACUCCGUGCCAGCAGCCGCGGUAAUACGGAGGAUCCAAGCGUUAUCCGGAAUCAUUGGGUUUAAAGGGUCCGUAGGCGGUCUUAUAAGUCAGUGGUGAAAUCUCCCCGCUCAACGGGGAAACGGCCAUUGAUACUGUAGGACUUGAAUUAUUAGGAAGUAACUAGAAUAUGUAGUGUAGCGGUGAAAUGCUUAGAGAUUACAUGGAAUACCAAUUGCGAAGGCAGGUUACUACUAAUGGAUUGACGCUGAUGGACGAAAGCGUGGGUAGCGAACAGGAUUAGAUACCCUGGUAGUCCACGCCCU
rnacentral:rRNA from 1 species